rnacentral:lncRNA from 1 species
GGCCGGGCGCGCGGCCCCGGCGGGCACCCCUCCGAGGGCGGCCGAGGAAGCUCCGGGAGGAGGUGCAGGACCACGAGGAGGUGGGAGGCGGCGGCCGCCUAGGGACCCGCUCCGCGCCUCGUCCUCUCCGCCCCCUCCCCAGCCUUUCUCUCACCCUCUUCUCCCACACUCCGGGCCGGCGCCUCGGCUUUGUGCGAGGAGAUGGUGUAGCCCCCUGGCCGCCGAAGGAGGAGCCGAACACUUGUCUCCCGUCUCCGAGCUGCUCCCCACCCCUGGAGGAGAGACCCCCUCUGCUCGGCGCCUUCCGCGUCUCCCAGCUGGUGGGGAAGCCUCUACGCCGCCGGCACCAUGAGGAUUUCCCUUCCUAA